AACGGCCGUACCAUGCUGAAUAUACCGGUUCUCGUUAGAUCACCGAAGUCAAGCAUCAUUGGGCGCGGUCAGUACUUGGGUGGGUGACCACCUGGCAACACCGCGUGCAGU
rnacentral:rRNA from 1 species